CUGAAAAGAAGCAGGGGCGGGCAGGCAGCACCAGCAGCCCUGCUCCCCUGGCCAGAGUGCUGGCCGGAGCACGACAGCCCCGCGGCCCCGCAACCCUGGCUGGAGCGCCGCGGCCCCAUGACCCCGGCUGGAGCGCGGCAAGCCCCGCGGCUCUGUUCUCGCGGCUGGAGCUCCGGCCGGAGCGUGGCAAGCCCCACGACCCCCCUCCUCCAGCCGGCAAUCUGAAGUGCCGCCAAAGACUGGGAGCGCCGCCCGGUACACUUGGGAAGGCUCCCAGAGCUGGAAGAUGGAUUUGGUCUUUCUGUGAGUAAAAACCACUGAUGGUGUUCAGAGAAGGUCCUGGUCAGUUGAUUCACCAACGUGUUCUGCUUCCUUGGAAGUUUUAGGACUGACUUGCUCCAAUUUACUAGAAGAUCCAGGACGUUGAAUGUGGACAGGAUGGUGGUUACACUGGAUAACACCUGAGCCUCAGACCAGUCUCUCAUCAACCAGUAGUCCAGGGACAGGAACACACGAACUCCUGAUUUUUAUAGAUGUGCUGCCACCACUGCCAGGCACUUUGUGAACACCUGAGGAGCAGCUGAGAGACCGAAUGUGAACUGAUAGUGGACUCAUCUGCCACAAAUCUGAGAAACUUCUGAAGGUUGUCUGUAUUGCGACAUGGAAAUCUUGAGACUGGGCUGCAUUUACAUCAUCCAAACUGUCCUGGAUAGCAGUUGUGGCAACUGGCUUGCCCCCAUCCACCAUUACUGCAAAUUUUAGAAUGUUCUCCCAGUAGGUGAAAUCAUAGUGCUCACGAGUACCUGUUGGUUUGCAAUUCUGAGUUGCAGACUACCUGUAGAAUGAAGUUUGCAUCCAAACAAGUCCAGCCUCUUCAAAUCUUUGCCUUUCAGGAUCAAUGCUUGGUGUCCUUGUCUCUCCCAUUUGUAGCAGCCACCACCACCAAGGAACCGGGGUAAUAGUGAAAGUACAAAUGCUCAUUCCCCUUAGAGGGGAUGUAGUACCUUUCUGCUUGCUCGGCUGUGUGGGGGUAAGGAAGAUCAUAGGCAUAAUUUGACUUCUCUAUUUGGGGGGCAAGGGGCUUAAUAAUAUGAAUCGGUCUAAUUUCUGGAUUUACUGAUUGUUAGUGGUAGUUAAAUUACAAUGUACUUAAAAUCACAAAAACAGUUUAUGUUCAUUAUAUAAUCACCCUUUUUAAAAUUUUAACUUAAUUAUUUGCCAUGUUUACCAGCUACCACUUAAAAAUCAACAUUAACAUAAAAACAAAUUCUUGAAUAAACAGAACCAAGCACUUUCAUGUAACUAUGAAUCAUGUCUCCCUGGUUUUAGAGUUAUAUAAACAUUGUCUUAAUAUAGAAAUACUGUAUUUAUCUUAAUGUAGAAGCAAUCGUCUUUCCUUUCCAUUAGCUUUUCUUGGUUUUAGAUAGAGCAAAAUAAUUUGGUAGACCUAAUUUAAAACAGAGUAAUAUUUUACUUAAAUUAAAACUUUUAAAGGUAACAGAGUCACUUUUCCAUAGAUGUUUUGCAUCAUCCUAUAAAAUGUAAUAGAAAAUUAUAUCCCUGCUAUAGGUUUUUAGAGUCAUUUCUCAAGGUGCUUGAUCUAAUUCCCAUUGAAGUCACAGGAGUCUUUGGCAAGGUCUACACUACACACUUACUGAGGUAUAACAACAUCACUCAAGGAUGUGAAAAAUCCAGCCCCUGAGCGACAUAGUUAUAUUGACUCUAACCCUCCCUGUGUAGACAGCGCUAUGUCGGCAGGAGAGCUUCUCUUUCCCAUUGGCUUAAAGCAUCCUCCCCAGAUGUGCUACAGCUACAUCAGUGCAGCUGCGCUGAUGUAAAUUUCUAGUGUAGACCUGCCCUUUGACCUCUAGCUCUUUCUAUGGGAACUAGAAGAGGCUAUAGAGCCCCAGGAUGUUUCUAAAGACACCUGUUGGUACCAUCCCUAUUGAUUCCAUACAACUGCUCCACUUGGGUGUCCAGUGAACCUGGGUCCAUUUGUGAGCGAGGACCUGAAAUCAGAUGAACUUCAGUUGAAUUCAGCUUUCAGUUUAUUCCCCAAACUCCAGGCAAACAUGCGGGAGGAGAAGAAAAGGGAAAGCAACAUCAACAAAACAAGAUUUGUAUAGCCCACUCCAAACUGAGAUCUCUAUUUUGCACAUAAGUUCUCCUUAUGGCACACGUAUCUUGCAUAAGCAGAUCUGCUUGCAUCACUUGCCACACAGUUAAUUUCAUUUUUAAUAACCACUUUGUAUUUAUUAACCUUACUAAACUGAAAUCCUUACAUGACAUAUGUCAAAAUAUGUCUUUCAGAAAGACCGCUGGAUCAGAUUUUCUCUUUCUCUGUGUCACCUUUUUAGAAAGAAAUACACCCUGUUCUCCUGGGAUAG